CUUCUAAUAUGUAAGUGCAAUUUGUAUCAGGUAGUUAUUGACUUUUACUGAAACAACUUUUCUAAAUAUGACUUCAACUUCUGACAAAGUCAUUCUCUGGCCAGAUACUUGUACUUUUACUCAAGUAUCGCUUUCAAGUAUUUUACACAAGACUGGUUACAGUGAAGCAAUCAAUGAGAAGUCAAAGAAAGACAUUACUGGACAAUUAUGAAGAAUUCAAAGGCUUGAACAUCUGGAGCCUUGACGUGACUGCAAUCAUCGAGCCAAAACGGUUUAUCAAGCAUCGCCUCAAUGAUGGCACGAAGAGAGAGAAAAUUGCAACAUUCCUGUACACCUUAACACACUAUUAGCGUACGACAAUUAAACAAAUCUUCUACAUGAGCUGCAAUGACUGCCAACAGCCAACAGGUGUAAAUUAGCCGACUUACAUGUUUGUUUUUGGAAAAAAAACGCUCGGAUUGUUUUAUUUUCUUCAUGUUAUUUCCUUAUUGAAUUGAAAUCACUCGCUCUGUCAUAGUAGACAAUUGUCUAAUGAUCAGUGAGCAGUGGAAACAAAAGCCAAAUAAGGGUGUACUCCUCCAAGCUAUAUCAUGGGGCUUAGUUAAACUGCAACACUUGAUGGAAAUGUGGUUUAAAUACUAUAUAAAUAUUGUCAUGCCAGUUGAAAUUCAUAUUAUUUCUUGUGAAUUUGCAGUAAAUACAGAGUAUUAAGUCAGUGCAGUGAUAAUUGAGAUACUUACGUUCAGCACUUGAGAUGCUGGGCUCUGGUCCUGUCGUAGGAAUAAUACUAGUAACAGGAGGAGACGGACCAGAGCAUGUGAAGUUGGUGUCAGCAUCCAGCCCACUGGAGUUGAACUGGACAAAGCCUGGCUUAUCAGAACUGAUGUGUGAGUUGAUCCAGGACUGGUAGCUGGACACUCUGGCAUAAACUCCCGGCAGAUUAGGUCUAGCACAGCCAACACCAAAACUGACAAUUCCUGAUUGGAUCCAGAUUGAAUCCUGCUGGCUCAACAUUGGACCUCCUGAAUCACCCUAAUGAUGUGAAUACAAAUUGUGUGUCAAAUCAUAUUAGAAUUAUUAUUAUUUUAGGCCAAAGAGGUAAAUUAAAUUAAGUUAUCUACCUGACAAGCAUCUUUCCCUCCUUCAAGUAAACCAGCACAGAUCAUGUUGUCUGUAAUAGAACCUUCACCAUUCAGGCAGGUACACUGUCUGUUUCCCACAACUGGAACCUCCACUUCUUGUAGCGUUUGAGGGAAGGGGAGUGACACUAAACGGUAGAGGGAAAGUCUAUUAGGUGUAGUCAAAGGAAACGUUAUAUUCUAUCACUAGUUAACUACUUUACCUCCUUCCUGGACAGUUCCCCAACCAGUGACCCAGCUAUCAGUACCAUUGAUGAAGUUACUGCUACUGGCUGCCAGACACACAGGUCUGAUGUAUUCUGUGAAAGUGACCGGUGAGGAAAGUCUAAGCAGAGCGAUGUCGUUGUCAAAGCUAAAAGUGUCAAAGUUUGGAUGCAAAAUGAUUGUGUCAACAGUUCUGGACACUUCAUUUGUGUUGUUGCCCUGCAGGUUCUGACGACCAAGAGAAACGGACCAUCCAAAGGUGACCCACCUGAAGAAGCAGUGGGCAGCUGACAUCACCCACUCUUUGUUUAUAAGAGAACCACCACAAACAUGGCUGCCAAGAUCCUGCAAACUGGCCUGCCAAGGCCAACUUCCUUCUUGUGCGUCUUCACCUCCAACUAUCCUCGUGUUCAGUGGAGAGGUGCCACACACUGCAAACAGGUCUCAUUAGAAUCCAAGUUGAUGAACACGUACUGUAUUCAAAAUUAGUCAGGGGCACGGAUGGUAUUUUGCAACAGGGCAGAACAAAUGUUAGCAAUGAUUGAAUGAUGAGGUUUUUUCCAACUCCAUGGCUUAAUCAAUUAUUUUUUUAAAGUCAGUAGCAGUACACAUACUUUGUUACUGUACUUAAUGUACAAUUACUUAAUGUAUAAUGUUUAACAUUUACACUUAUUUUGAAUACUUUCGCUUUUACUCUUCAAAAUGUUUGAAAAAAAAAUCACUACCUUUACUGAAAUCCAUUUUCAUGAAUUAUCUUCGUAACUCUUUACUCUAAAACAAAAGUUGAUUUUGAGACGUAAUGCCAUCAUUUUGUCAUAUUAAAUGCAAACAAGUAAAGUAAAUCGAUGCAAUGUUCUACUCAGAGCGGCGCACCCAGAAACCGCUAGCAAGUUUGCUGCUAAACUGUAACAUGUCGCAGUGUUGCUCAAAGAAUAACUCAGAAAGUCUUGGUGGUUGGAGCUACACUUUUUCCAGUUGUAAGAGUCACAGGUAUGUAAAACUAUUUAAUUGUGUUAAUUACCUGUUGUUGUUGCACAUAUUUAAUGAUUGAAGAAGGUGCUGACUUGCAAAACUAUGCAAUUACAAAGUCAUUGUACUACUACUGUGUCCUUAAAUUGCUGCUUUCUGCUGUAAAUUCUUUAUUCUGUAAAUAUAGAUUUAACUUUCUUUUUUAAAAGUAAAUUAUUAGUUUUUAAAUGCAUACAGAUAUACAUGAUUAAAUUGGCCUUUGUGUGUGAAUGUAAGUGUGAAUGGUUGUCUAUCUGUAUUGGCUUUGCAAUGAGCUGGCGACUUGUCCUGGGUGUGCCCUGCCUUCUGCCCGAGUGCAGCUGGGAUAGCCUCAAGCCUCCCGGCAGGCCCGAAAGGGACACACGGUAGAAAAUGUAUGGAAGGAUCAAUGGAAAUCAAUUAUAUUCUGUCAAUAUUUGGAUGUUUUUAGAGAGCUUUAUAGGCAUAAUAAUAUUUGGUCCAUUGUUAUCUGACUUUGGCUUGCAUUUAUUUACGGGUUAGAAUGCAUUACAAAAGAAAAACAUAUGAGUGCUUGUCUUACAUGUUGAUAGUGAAUGAUAGACAAAAAUCCAAAAAAAGUGCGGUUACCCUUAAGGUUUCUGUUAAAAACAAGUUGAGUUUGUUCUUAUAAUAUACAGAAAAGUUGAGAUAUAAAUGACAGUAGAAGUUUAAUAUCAAUGUUUAACAAGUUAAAGCCUCUUCUAUUUUACUGUACCUGAAUAAGUUUGUUUUUUUUAUAAAUAAGAAAGCCACAUAACACGUAAACAUUAUAAUUACUCACUUUGUUUAAAUAAAUGUACUUCUAAUAUCAUCUUGCAUUUCGUAUCAGGUACUUAUUGACUUUUACUGAAACAAUUUUUCUAAAUAUGACUUCAACUUCUGACAAAGUCAUUCUCUGGUCAGAUACUUGUAAUUUUACUCAAGUAUCACUUUCAAGUAUUUUAUACAAGACUGGUUACAGGGAAGCGAUCAAUGAGAAGUCAAAGAAAGACCUUCCUAACAUUUAUGAAGAAACGACAAUUACAAAAUCUUCUACGUGAGGUGCAAUGACUGCCAACAGCCAACAGGUGUAAAUUAGCCGACUUACAUGUUUGUUUUUGGAAAAAAAAACGCUCGGAUUGUUUUAUUUUCUUCAUGUUAUUUCCUUAUUGAAUUGAAAUCACUCGCUCUGUCAUAGUAGACGAUUGUCUAAUGAUCAGUGAGCAGUGGAAACAAAAGCCAAAUAAGGGUGUACUCCUCCAAGCUAUAUCAUGGGGCUUAGUUAAACUGCAACACUUGAUGGAAAUGUGGUUUAAAUACUAUAUAAAUAUUGUCAUGCCAGUUGAAAUUCAUAUUAUUUCAUGUGAAUUUGCAGUAAAUACAGAGUAUUAAGUCAGUGCAGUGAUAAUUGAGAUACUUACGUUCAGCACUUGAGAUGCUGGGCUCUGGUCCUGUCGUAGGAAUAAUACUAGUAACAGGAGGAGACGGAUCAGAGCAUGUGAAGUUGGUGUCAGCAUCCAGCCCACUGGAGUUGAACUGGACAAAGCCUGGCUUAUCAGAACUGAUGUGUGUGUUGAUCCAGGACUGGUAGCUGGACACUCUGGCAUAAACUCCCGGCAGAUUAGGUCGAGCACAGCCAACACCAAAACUGACAAUUCCUGAUUGGAUCCAGAUUGAAUCCUGCUGGCUCAUCAUUGGACCUCCUGAGUCGCCCUAACGGUGUGUAUACGAAUUGUGUGUCAAAUCAUAAUUGAACUAUAUAUAACCAAAUGAGAAGAAGUAAUUUACCUGACAAGCAUCUUUCCCUCCUUCAAGUAAACCAGCACAGAUCAUGUUGUCUGUAAUAGAACCUUCACCAUUCAGGCAGGUACACUGUCUGUUUCCCACAACUGGAACCUCCACUUCUUGUAGCGUUUGAGGGAAGGGGAGUGACACUAAACGGUAGAGGGAAAGUCUAUUAGGUGUAGCCAAAGGAAACAUCAUAUUCCAUCACUAGUUAACUACUUUACCUCCUUCCUGGACUGUUCCCCAACCAGUGACCCAGCUAUCAGUACCAUUGAUGAAGUUACUGCUACUGGCUGCCAGACACACAGGUCUGAUGUAGGCUGUGAAAGUGACCGGUGAGGAAAGUCUAAGCAGAGCGAUGUCGUUGUCAAAGCUAAAAGUGUCAAAGUUUGGAUGCAAAAUGAUUGUGUCAACAGUUCUGGACACUUCAUUUGUGUUGUUGCCCUGCAGGUUCUGACGACCAAGAGAAACGGACCAUCCAAAUGUAUUUGUGCUAUAGGGACAACGCCAAUGUUUAGAUGGUUCAGGUAGUUUCAAAAUACAUAUGCUAUCAUGUUCAGGUGACCCACCUGAAGAAGCAGUGGGCAGCUGACAUCACCCACUCUUUGUUUAUAAGAGAACCACCACAAACAUGGCUGCCAAGAUCCUGCAAACUGGCCUGCCAAGGCCAACUUCCUUCUUGAGCGUCUUCACCUCCAACUAUCCUCGUGUUCAGUGGAGAGGUGCCACACACUGCAAACAGGUCUCAUUAAAAUCCAAGUUGAUGUUCACAUACUGUAUUCAAAAUUAGUCAGGGGCACGGAUGGUAUUUUGCAACUGGGCAGAACAGCUGUCAGCAAUGAUUGAAUGAUGAGGUUUUUUCCAACUCCAGGGCUUAAUCAAUUUUUAUUUUUUUUUGAGUCAGUAGCAGUUUUGGAAAGUACACAUACUUUGUUAUUGUACUUAAUGUAAAAUUACUUAAUGUAUAAUUUUAAACAUUUACACUUAUUUUGAAUACUUUCGCUUUUACUCUUCAAAAUGUUUAAAAAAAAAAUACUACCUUUACGAAAUACAUUUUCAUGAAUUAUCUUCGUAACUCUUUACUCUAAAACAAAUGUUGAUUUUGAGACGUAAUGCCAUCAUUUUGUCAUAUUAAAUGCAAACAAGUAAAGUAAAUCGAUGCAAUGUUCAACUCAGAGCGGCGCACCCAGAAACCGCUAGCAAGUCUGCUGCUAAACUGUAACAUGUCGCAGUGUUGCUCAAAGAAUAACUCAGAAAGUCUUGGUGGUUGGAGCUACACUUUUUCCAGUUGUAAGAGUCACAGGUUUGUAAAACUAUUUAAUCAUGUUAGUUACCUGUUGUUGUUGCACAUAUUUAAUGAUUGAAGAAGGUGCUGAAUUGCAAAGCUAUGCAAUUACAAUGUCAUUGUACUACUACUGUGUCCUUAAAAUGCUGCUUUCUGCUGUAAAUUCUUUAUUCUGUAUAUAUAGAUUAAACUUUCUUUUUUAAAAGUUAAUCAUUAGUUUUGAAAUGCACACAGAUAAAUUGGAAGUUAUGUGUGAAUGUAAGUGUGAAUGGUUGUCCAUCUGUAUUGGCUUUGCAAUGAGCUGGCGACUUGUCCUGGGUGUGCCCUGCCUUCUGCCCGAGUGCAGCUUGGAUAGCCUCAAGCAUCCCGGCAGGCCCGAAAUGGACAAGCGGUAGAAAAUGGAUGAAGGGAUUGAUGGAAAUUAAUUAUAUUCUGUCAGUAUUUGGAUGUUUUUAGAGAGCUUUAUAGAGCAUAAUACUAUUUGGUCCAUUGUUAUCUGACUUUCGCUUGCAUUUAUUUAUGGGUUAAAAUGCAUAAAAAAAGAAAAACAGAUGAGUGCUUAUCUUACAUGUUGAUAGUGAAUGAUAGACAAAAAUUUUAAAAAAGUGCAGUUCCCCUUAAGGUUUCUGUUAAAAACAAGUUGAGUUUGUUCUUAUAACAUACAGAAAGGUUGAGAUAUAAAUGACAGUAAAAGUUUAAUAUCAAUGUUUAACAAGUUAAAGUCUCUAUUUUACUGUACCUGAAUAUGUUUUUUUUUUUUAAAUAAGAAAGCCACAUAACACAUAAACAUUAUAAUUUAUCGCUUUGUUUAAAUAAAUUUAGUUCUAAUAUUUAAGUACAUUUUGUAUCAGGUACUUAUUGACUUUUACUGAAACAACUUUUCUAAUUAUCACUUCAACUUCUGCCAAAGUCAUUCUCUGGUCAGAUACUUGUACUUUUACUCAAGUAUCGCUUUCAAGUAUUUUACACAAGACUGGUUACAGUGAAGCAAUCAAUGAGAAGUCAAAGAAAGACAUUACUGGACAAUUAUGAAGAAUUCAAAGGCUUGAACAUCUGGAGCCUUGACGUGACAGCAAUCAUCGAGCCAAAACGGUUUAUCAAGCAUCGCCUCAAUGAUGGCACGAAGAGAGAGAAAAUUGCAACAUUCCUGUACACCUUAACACACUAUUAGCAUAGGACAAUUAAACAAAUCUUCUACAUGAGCUGCAAUGACUGCCAACAGCCAACAGGUGUAAAUUAGCCGACUUACAUGUUUGUUUUUGGAAAAAAAACGCUCGGAUUGUUUUAUUUUCUUCAUGUUAUUUCCUUAUUGAAUUGAAAUCACUCGCUCUGUCAUAGUAGACGAUUGUCUAAUGAUCAGUGAGCAGUGGAAACAAAAGCCAAAUGAGGUUGUACUCAUCCAAACCUAUCAUGGGAGCUUAGUUGAACCGUAACACUUGAUGGAAAUGUGGUUUAAAUACUAUAUAAAUAUUGUCAUGCCAGUUGAAAUUCAUAUUAUUUCUUGUGAAUUUGCAGUAAAUACAGAGUAUUAAGUCAGUGCAGUGAUAAUUGAGAUACUUACGUUCAGCACUUGAGAUGCUGGGCUCUGGUCCUGUCGUAGGAAUAAUACUAGUAACAGGAGGAGAAGGACCAGAGCAUGUGAAGUUGGUGUCAGCAUCCAGCCCACUGGAGUUGAACUGGACAAAGCCUGGCUUAUCAGAACUGAUGUGUGAGUUGAUCCAGGACUGGUAGCUGGACACUCUGGCAUAAACUCCCGGCAGAUUAGGUCGAGCACAGCCAACACCAAAACUGACAAUUCCUGAUUGGAUCCAGACUGAAUCCUGCUGGCUCAUCAUUGGACCACCUGAGUCGCCCUAAUUAGGUGAAUACAAAUUGUGUGUCAAAUACUAUUUGAAUUAUUAUUAUUAUUGUUAUUAUUAUUUUAGGCCAAGGAGAUAAAUUAAAAUAAGUUAUCUACCUGACAAGCAUCUUUCCCUCCUUCAAGUAAACCAGCACAGAUCAUGUUGUCUGUAAUAGAACCUUCACCAUUCAGGCAGGUACACUGUCUGUUUCCCACAACUGGAACCUCCACUUCUUGUAGCGUUUGAGGGAAGGGGAGUGACACUAAACGGUAGAGGGAAAGUCUAUUAGGUGUAGCCAAAGGAAACAUCAUAUUCCAUCACUAGUUAACUACUUUACCUCCUUCCUGGACUGUUCCCCAACCAGUGACCCAGCUAUCAGUACCAUUGAUGAAGUUACUGCUACUGGCUGCCAGACACACAGGUCUGAUGUAUUCUGUGAAAGUGACCGGUGAGGAAAGUCUAAGCAGAGCGAUGUCGUUGUCAAAGCUAAAAGUGUCAAAGUUUGGAUGCAAAAUGAUUGUGUCAACAGUUCUGGACACUUCAUUUGUGUUGUUGCCCUGCAGGUUCUGACGACCAAGAGAAACGGACCAUCCAAAGGUGACUCACCUGAAGAAGCAGUGGGCAGCUGACAUCACCCACUCUUUGUUUAUAAGAGAACCACCACAAACAUGGCUGCCAAGAUCCUGCAAACUGGCCUGCCAAGGCCAACUUCCUUCUUGAGCGUCUUCACCUCCAACUAUCCUUGUGUUCAGUGGAGAGGUGCCACACACUGCAAACAGGUCUCAUCAAAAUCCAAGUUGAUGUUCACUGCUCCCCAAGGGGAUGGGACAAAUGCAGAGGACAAAUUUCGCCACAUCUAGUGUGUGUGUGACAAUCAUUGGUACUUUAACUUUAACAUACUGUAUUCAAAAUUAGUCAGGCUCACGGAUGGUAUUUUGCAACUGGGCAGAACAGCUGUCAGCAAUGAUUGAAUGAUGAGGUUUUUUUCCCAACUCCAGCCGUUAAUCAAUUUUUAAAAACAAUUUUUUAAGUCAGACGCAGUUUUGGAAAGUACACAUACUUUGUUACUGUGCUUAAUGUACAAAUACUAACUGUAUAAUUGUUAAACAUUUACACUUAUUUUGACUACUUUCGCUUAAAAUGUUUUGAAAAAAAUUGACUCAUGCAAUUACAAUGUCAUUGUACUACUACUGUGUCCUUAAAAUGCUGCUUUCUGCUGUAAAUUAUUUAAUCUGUAAAUAUAGAUUUAACUUUGUUUUUUAAAAGUAAAUUAUUAGUUUUGAAAUGCAUACAGAUAUACAUGAUUAAAUUGGCCUUUGUGUGUGAAUGUAAGUGUGUAUUGGUUGUCUAUCUGUAUUGGCUUUGCAAUCAGCUGGCGACUUGUCCUGGGUGUGCCCCGCCUUCUGCCCGAGUGCAGCUGGGAUAGCCUCAAGCCUCACGGCGGGCCCGAAAGGGACAAGCGGUAGAAAAUGGAUGGAAGGAUCAAUGGAAAUCAAUUAUAUUCUGUCAAUAUUUGGAUGUUUUUAGAGAGCUUUAUAGAGCAUAAUACUAUUUGGUCCAUUGUUAUCUGACUUUGACUUGCAUUUAUUUACGGGUUAGAAUGCAUAAGAAAAGAAAAUCAUAUGAGUGCUUGUCUUACAUGUUGAUAGUGAAUGAUAGACAAAAAUCCAAAAAAAGUGCAGUUCCCCUUAAGGUUUCUGUUAAAAACAAGUUGAGUUUGUUCUUACAACAUACAGGAAAGUUGAGAUAUAAAUGACAGUAGAAGUUUAAUAUCAAUGUUUAACAAGUUAAAGCCUCUUCUAUUUUACUGUACCUGAAUAUGUAUUUUUUUUUUUUUAAAUAAGAAAGCCACAUAACACGUAAACAUUAUAAUUUCUCACUUUGUUUAAAUAAAUGUACUUCUAAUAUGUAAGUGCAAUUUGUAUCAGGUACUUAUUGACUUUUACUGAAACAACUUUUCUAAAUAUGACUUCAACUUCUGACAAAGUCAUUCUCUGGUCAGAUACUUGUACUUUUACUCAAGUAUCGCUUUCAAGUAUUUUACACAAGACUGGUUACAGUGAAGCAAUCAAUGAGAAGUCAAAGAAAGACAUUACUGGACAAUUAUGAAGAAUUCAAAGGCUUGAACAUCUGGAGCCUUGACGUGACUGCAAUCAUCGAGCCAAAACGGUUUAUCAAGCAUCGCCUCAAUGAUGGCACGAAGAGAGAGAAAAUUGCAACAUUCCUGUACACCUUAACACACUAUUAGCGUACGACAAUUAAACAAAUCUUCUACAUGAGCUGCAAUGACUGCCAACAGCCAACAGGUGUAAAUUA